AUGACGCUUCUAAGCUGGAACUGCCGGGGCCUCGGGCAGCCCCGGACAGUUCAGGAAUUGGUGUGCCUGGUGCACACCUACAAACCAAAGCUCGUUUUUCUGUUGGAUACACGGCAAAGAAAUAAAUAUGUAAGCAACCUAAGAUGGAGAUUAGGUCUGAAACACUGCAUCACACAUGCUGGCAUAGGAAAAGGAGCCGACAUUGCCUUGUAUUAUGAUGAAAGCGUGGAAGUAAUAAAACUUGCCGUGGGUUUGAGAUACAUUGAUGUGUUGAUUCGUUUGAACCCUCAUGGCCAGCAGUGGCGUGCAACAUUUGUGUAUGGAGAGGCAAAAGCGCAUGAACGCCAUCAUAUGUGGAACCUCCUGUGAAGAAUAAAACCUGCUUCCAAUGCACCGUGGCUGGUUAUUGGUGAUUUCAAUGAGACUAUGUGGCAAACUGAACAUUUCUCUUCCUGCUACAGAUCUGAAAGAAACAUGGCAAACUUUCGUGAAGUUCUCUCCGACUGUGAACUUUAUGACCUCGGUUUCAAAGGUCCACGAUGGACGUACGAUAAUAAACAAGACGGCCAGAGGAAUAUGAAAGCCCGGCUGGAUAGAGGGGUAGCAUCUUCAUCGUGGAGUGAUAUCUUUCAGGACGCUUCGGUAGAACAUAUAUGUUCUACAAGAUCAGAUCAUUUACCGCUCUUGGUAAGGUUCGGACCCAGGCUGGAAUGGAGACCAAAGAACGAGAAACGGAUCGCGGCCUUUCGUUAUGAGUAUAUGUGGGAGAGAGUAGAAUCAUUAAGUAACCAUAUUGCCGGGUCUUGGAAGAAAGAGGGGACAACAAUUUCCCUAGAGAAGUUAGGGGCAAAGCUAGUCACUAUGCAGACAGAUUUACGUCAUUGGGCAGCAAGGGAUUUUGGCUCCAUUCUGAAGGAUACUGCUGCAGUCAGGAAGAAAUUGAGUGACCUGUGGAUGCCCCCCCUUCCAUGCACCAACAGAGCAAUAUCAAGAAAUUGUCUAAGGAAUUGGACGAGCUUCUGCUGA
rnacentral:rRNA from 1 species